UCCGUAGGGUGCGAGCGUUGCCCGGAUUUAUUGGGCGUAAAGGGCGCGUAGGCGGUUCGAUAAGUCGGGUGUGAAACCUCCAGGCUCAACCUGGAGACGCCACCCGAUACUGUCGUGACUAGAGUCCAGUAGGGGAGCGUGGAAUUCCUGGUGUAGCGGUGAAAUGCGCAGAUAUCAGGAGGAACACCGGUGGCGAAGGCGGGUCUCUGGGCAACAACUGACGCUGAGGAGCGAAAGCGUGGGGAGCGAACAGG
rnacentral:rRNA from 1 species